GGCGAAAGGGUGAGUAACACGUGGGCAACCUACCUCUAAGUUGGGGAUGACAUCGCGAAAGUGGUGCUAAUACCGAAUGUGGUUGCCGUUCGCAUGAACGGCGUACCAAAGCUGGGGAUUCUUCGGAACCUGGCGCUUGAAGAUGGGCCCGCGUACCAUCAGCUAGUUGGUGAGGUAAUGGCUCACCAAGGCUUACGGUUAGCUGGUCUGAGAGGACGACCAGCCACAUUGGGACUGAGAUACUGCCCAGACUCCUGCGGGAGGCUGCAGUCGAGGAUCUUUUGCAAUGGGCGCAAGCCUGACAAAGCGACGCUGCGUGGAGGAUGAAGGCCUUCGGGUUGUAAACUCCUGUCAUUCGGGAAUAAUAGCCAAUGAAUUAAUACUUCAAUGGCUUGACGGUACCGGAAGAGGAAGCCACGGCUAACUCUGUGCCAGCAGCCGCGGUAAUACAGAGGUGGCGAGCGUUGUUCGGAUUUACUGGGCGUAAAGGGCGCGUAGGUGGUUUUGUGUGUCGGAUGUGAAAUCCCAUCGCUCAACGAUGGAACUGCAUUCGAAACUGCAAAGCUUGAGUUCAGGAGAGGAGAGCGGAAUUCUUGGUGUAGCGGUGAAAUGCGCUGAUAUCAAGAAGAACACCGGUGGCGAAGGCGGCUCUCUGGAAUGAUACUGACACUGAGGCGCGAAAGUUGGGGGAGCAAACAGGUUUAGAUACCCUGGUAGUCCCAACUGUAAACGGUGUGCAUUUGGUGUAGGGGUGUUGACCCCCCUGUGCCGGAGCGAACGCGUUAAAUGCACCGCCUGGGGAGUACGGUCGCAAGACUAAAACUCAAAGAAAUUGACGGGGGCCCGCACAAGCGGAGGAGCAUGUGGCUUAAUUCGAUGCAACGCGAAGAGCCUACCAGGGCUUGACAUGUAACUGCAUUCCUGCUGAAAGGCGGGAAGCCUUCGAGGGUGUUACACAGGUGCUGCAUGGCUGUCGUCAGUUCGUGCCGUGAGGUGUUGGGUUAAGUCCCGCAACGAACGCAACCCCUAUGUUUAGUUGCUACUCGGCGAAAGUCGAAGCACUCUAGACAGACUGCCCUUAGUGGAGGAAGGUGGGGACGACGUCAAGCCAGUAUGGCCUUUAUGCCCUGGGCCGCACACGUGCUACAAUGGCAGGUACAAUGGGACGCAAGACCGCGAGGUGGAGCAAAUCCAUAAAGCCUGCCCCAGUUCGGAUUGGAGUCUGAAAUUCGACUCCAUGAAGUCGGAUUCGCUAGUAAUGGCGCAUCAGCUACGGCGCCGUGAAUACGUUCCCGGGCCUUGUACACACCGCCCGUCACAUCAUGAAAGCCGUCUGCACCCAAAGUCGUCGAGCCAACCCUAACGGGAGGCAAGCGCCUAAGGUGUGGGU
rnacentral:rRNA from 1 species